rnacentral:rRNA from 1 species
CAGCAGCCGCGGUAAUACGAAGGGGGCUAGCGUUGCUCGGAAUUACUGGGCGUAAGGCGUGCGUAGGUGGUGCGUUAAGUCUGUCGUGAAAGCCCCGGGCUCAACCUGGGAAUGGCGAUGGAUACUGGCGCGCUAGAGUGCGGUAGAGGAGAGUGGAAUUCCCGGUGUAGCAGUGAAAUGCGUAGAGAUCGGGAGGAACAUCAGUUGCGAAGGCGGCUCUCUGGACCAGCACUGACACUGAGGCACGAAAGCGUGGGGAGCAAACAGGAUUAGAUACCCUGGUAGUCCACGCCCUAAACGAUGCGAACUGGACGUUGGGAGCAAUUAGGCUCUCAGUGUCGAAGCUAACGCGUUAAGUUCGCCGCCUGGGGAGUACGGUCGCAAGACUGAAACUCAAAGGGAUUGNGCGG